GGUGUUUGGGGUGCUACAUUUUGGCACUGUGAGCAAGGCUGCGAUUAUUUUGCAGAUUUGUGUUUUUGGGAGCAGUUCAGUUGCUUUUUUUUUUUUUUGUUUUUUUUUGUUUUUCUAUUUCUUUUAUAAGCUAGAGAAUAGCGGCUAGAAAGAUCAGCCUCUUCUUCUGCAUCGUCGUCUGGUCGCUUGGUAAGCCUUCAAAAUGGAAGAGGAGCUGUGACUAUGUGCUCAAAUGGAGCAGCUCACGUCGGAAAAUCAAAGACUCUUGGGGCCAAGUCAAGUUGGGAAUGUGAGGGAAGGACAUGCUAGUGGUGGUGGUGGGGGGGGUGUUUCUUCAUCACGCAGAGAACAAGCUGUGUAUCUUCCCAGAGAAUGUAAAUGCUCUAAGUUUUCUGGAUUUUCAGCUGUCUUUUGAAGAAUGGAUAGAGGAGGCUCAGAGUAUUAGGUCAAGGUGCAUGUCUGAAUGGGACCAAGCUCUCUUUCUUUUGGAUCAUUUAAAAGGCGAGGCCUAUAAUGAAAUUAAAUAUCGGCCUCAGGGAGUGAGGGAAAACUCUGAACAAAUUUUUGAGUAUUUGAAAAGUGUAUGGAUGUUCAAAAUCAUGUUUAUUGGCAGCAAAGGUUUUUUGAUCGAAGUAGAGGGAUGGGGAAUCAUUAUACGAGUUUUCACAUGCCCUGUUGGCUCUAAUGGAACGUGUAGAGCAGUGCAAGCCAGGUGCUAUACCCAAUACUGAUUCUGUUAGAGAUCAGUUUUGUGAAAGUGUUACCACAUGCUUCGCAGGGAGCUGAAAAGGUUGGUACGAAGUAGAGAGACUGUCACUCUUAGAAGUACGAUGGGAGGCCAUCCAGUGGGUUGAUGAAGGGCAACCUAACAGACAAACGGGUACGCUCUACCCCAUAUACUUAUGAGACACACGUUACACCUAGUUGUGAGGUUCAUUUUGUUCAGUCUUCUACAGAGUUGAUAGAACUUAAGAAUAUAGUCCUGAAACAACAGGCACAGUUGGACUUGUUGGUAAAGCACCUUGCUCCUGCUAUUAGUAAACCUUCUGGUCAGAACAAUCGAUUUAAGCGUGCACCUGAUGGUAGACCAAUCAGUAUUAAAUGUAACAGACCUGGGCAUAUUGCUCGGUACUGUGAUACUGGUUUGGAUACUCAUGGGGGGGAACCAGUUGGAGAACCCUCUGGGCUGUCUGAAAACUAGUGACCCCCAGUGUAUUGAGCCAUACGCUGGGAGGAACGGUAGAGGGCUCUUGUGCAGAUUCUUCAGUUUAUGAUCGGUUAGUAGGACAAUGUCCUCCUGUAGGUGUUAAGAUGGAUGAUGUGAAUGUUCCAUGUUUAGUGGACACAGGUUCUAUGGUCACGACUGUGACAGUUUCUUUAAUAAAUAUCUUUCUCAUGUAAAAAAGCAAGAUUGUGAGUGGCUUGGUUUAAAAGCUGCUAAUGGGCUUGAUAUUCCUUAUAUAGGUUAUGUGGAAUUAGAUGUGAAUGUUUUAAAUCAGUGCAUUCCAAGGUGUGGUAUUUUGAUUGUGAAAGAUCCUAUACAUACAGCAUUACAAACUCAUAAGACCAUCACCCCAGGUAUCUUGGGGAUGAAUGUUCUGAGGGAAUGUUAUCAGAGUCUUUUUGAUCAAUAUGGGGCUGGGUUAUUCCAGACCCCGCUAAUACAAUCAGCCACUCCGGGGUUUCGUCGUGCACUUAGGCAGUGUGAGAAAACCGAGGCCGUUCUUAAUUCAACAACUGCAUUUAAGGUAAAGGUGUUAAGAGAUCAGCCUGUUUGUAUCGCUGCUGGAACUCUUUCUAUGGUACCUGUGACAUGUCCCCAGUUUCCUUUAGCAGAAUUUGUUAGAGCCUUUUUGCCCAGAAGAAGGUACCCUCCCUGAGGGGUUACUUGUCUCCCCAGCCCUCCUACAAGCAUAGUACAGUACAUAUAUGCUCCUAUUACGAAUGUUGGUUCUUUGGACGUUUGGCUUUUUCCACAGAGAGUGGUCGGUACAGUGCAGGUGGCAUCAGUGGAAGUGGAGGCCCCUGCCCCUCUGGCCUUUUCAGUUAGCCAGACUGCCUCAGAGUGUGUCUUGAUGGACCACACUGUAGAACGUUUGGAGUUUCCUUCAUUUGAAGGGUUAACUGAAGAACAAGCCAUGCAAGCAAAGUCUCUUCUUCUUAAGUACUCUUUUUUUUGUUUGUUUGUUUGUUUGUUUGUUUUUGUUUGUUUGUUUGUUUUCUAAAGAUGAGGGAGAUAUAGGGUGUACUGAGCUGAUUGUUCAUGAGAUUCCGUUACAGGAUCAUAUUCCUGUUCGCCAGCCCUAUCGUCGCCUUCCUCCAUCACAGUAUGAUUUAGUUAAACACAUUAAACAGCUGUUGGAUAGUCAAGUUGUUAGGGAAAGUAUUAGUCCUUUACUCUUCCCCUAUUGUAGUAGUGACUAAGAAAGAUGGAACUAUCAGGUUGUGUGUUGACUAUAGGCAAUUAAAUGCAAAAACUUGUAAGGAUGCCUAUCCACUUCCUAGAAUUGAGGAGCAAUCUUGAUUUGGCCAGUGGCUAUAACCAGGUACCAGUGGCAGAGAAAGAUAAGUUCAAAACAGCCUUUUGUACACCUUUCGGCCUAUUUGAAUUUAAUCGUAUGCCAUUUGGCCUCUGUAAUGCGCCUGGCACAUUUCAGCGCUUGAUGGAGCACAUGUUUGGUGACCAGCGGUACCAUUCAGUGUUGCUCUACCUUGAUGAUGUGAUUGUGUUUUCCAGACUUGAACGACAAGGAUUGAAAAUUAAAUUGUCCAAGUGUAAUUUUUUUCAGAAACGGGUUAAGUACCUAGGACAUGUGGUGUCUGCACAGGGAGUGGCAACUGAUCCCAAUAAGGUAAGGGUGGUACGGGAGUGGAGACGUCCUAUGCAAUUGGUUGAAUUACGAUCGUUUCUUGGAUUUGCUAGUUAUUACCGUUGCUUUGUUAAGGGUUUUGCUUCUCUAGCGGCUCCAUUGCAUCAGCUGGUGAACAGGAUGAGUGGGCCCAAACGGAAGGGUAAAACCCCAAAGCUUCCACUAGGGUCAGAGUGGAAUGAAGUGUGUGAGAAUACCUUUGAAUCCCUGAAAUUGCGUUUGAUUACUGCCCCAGUCCUGGCCUAUGCUGACUUCACGAAGUCUUUUUAGAGGUAGAUGCCAGCUAUGGAGGGCUGGGAGCCGUACUUUCUCAGGAGCAUGAUGGAAAACUUCGGCCUAUUGCGUAUGCUAGUCGGGGGCUGAGGUCCACUGAAAGAAACAUGAAUAAUUAUAGCUCCAUGAAGCUCGAACUUUUGGCAGUGAAAUGGGCAGUAACCGAAAAGUUUCGAGAAUAUUUGUUAGGGAGUAGCUUUACUAUUUUUACUGACAACAAUCCAUUAAGUUAUCUCCAGACUGCAAAAUUGGGUGCGGUGGAACAGAGAUGGGCUUUUCAAUUGGCUUUGUUUAAUUUCACUAUAAAAUAUCACCCAGGUCAUAGUAAUGGUAAUGCAGAUGCCCUGUCGAGGCAAUACUUAGAGUUUUGCUUCCGGGACUGACAUUCUGCCAGUUUUGGGGGGGGGUCUCUUUCCAGAGAAGCAUGGAGGGAGGUGGAGUGUAGGGAAGCUGUUGCCUUGGCCGGGCGGACGGUUGAGGACCUUUCCUUGCUUCAGAAAAUUGAUCCAGUGAUUGGUCCAGUGUUAAAGUUUUUCGUUCUAGGUGUCAGCCUAGACCUGGAGAGCGAAAUGUGAUGUCAGCAGGGAGUAAGGAGUUGUUGUGGCACUGGGGUCGGUUAGUGGAGAAAGGAGGUGCGCUGCAUCGUGUAAUACGACUGCCAGGAGAGUGUAAAGAGACCUUCCGGGUUGUGCUUCCCCAAUGUUUGCAGGAUGAGGUGCUUCAAAGUGUGCAUGAUGGCCAUGGGCAUCAAGGCAUUGAUCGUACUUUCCAGCUGGUUCGUAGUCGGUGCUUUUGGCCAGGUAUGACAAAAAAAGUAGAGCAUUGGUGUCAAAAAUGUGAAAGAUGCAUUUUAAGUAAGGCAGUCCAACCAAAGAUUCGGUCAUUUCAGGGUACGCUUCAGGCCUCUGGUCCCCAUGAGGUCUUGGCAAUAGACUUCACAGUUUUGGAGCCAGCAAGUGAUGGUCGAGAAAAUAUACUGUUUUUUACAGAUGUUUUCUCCAAGUAUAAGCUAUUGUGACCAGAGAUCAGAGAGCUAGUACUGUUGCUCCGAUGGUGCAGCAGUGGUUUCAUUGUUUCGGACCACCAAGUCUAAUUCAUUCGGACCAAGGGAGGAAUUUCGAGAGUAUGGUGAUUUCAGCAGUUGUGUAAAAUUUAUGGUGUCCAAAAGAGUAGGACCACUCCUUACCACCCUCAGGGAAACGGGCAGUGCGAAAGAUUUAAUCGCACCCUCCAUGAUCUGUUGCAGACACUGCCACUAGCGCAAAAGAGACACUGGCCCUGUCAUCUGUCGCAGGUUGUUUAUGCGUAUAAUACCACCGCCCAUCAUGUGACUGGCAUGACUCCCUAUUAUCUGCUGUUUGGAUGUGACCCUAGUCUCCCAGUGGAUUUCCUGUUAGGGAAGGGUGUUAUGGAGGAUAGUUUUGGUGCCACUGAGGACUGGGUGCAGGAUCAUCAAGAGUUUAAGGGUAGCACAUAGUCAUGUAAGGCAACAGUUGCAAGCUAAAGCAGAGAAGCAGAAUAAACAACACAAUGAGAAAGUAAAUGAUCAGGGAUUACAAGAGGGACAGCUUGUGUAUCUGAGGAAUCAUGUUGGGGGAAGGAAUAAAAUUCAGGAUUUUUGGGACCCAUGUGUUUACAGGGUGGUCAGAGGUCCUUGUGACAUGGGGCUGUGUACUCUUUAAGACCGGUAUCAUGGGAGGGCCCAGUUAGGACAGUGCAUCGGUCAGAAUUGAGGAGUGCUAUACAAAAAUCAAGUAUUGAUGCAUCUGAUUUGCCAAUUGGACCGGGUACUGGACAUUUAGCCUUGAGGAUGAGGAAGAGACAUUUAGGGGGCCUCUUGUAAUGGUGGUGGAAGAUCAGGUAGAUGAUGAUCACUUAGAUGAGCCAAUUUUAUUUCCUGACUUGGUAGUUGCGACAGAGGUAGAGCAGCCACAAAGUCCGGGUCCCUUGUGGCGGUCUAGUAGGACUUCUGCUGGUUGUCAUUGUAACCCUUACAGAUUGCCAUGUUCUGUGGUUGCAGAGCAGUCAAUUAAUAAUGAGCAUUUUUUUUUUUUUCUUUUUCUUUUUCUUUUUUUUUUUUUUUUUGUCAUUGGGGCAAUGACAAGAAUUCCAGGGUGUGGAUUGUAGAAAGGUAACAAAGAGGGGCGGGGUCUCUAACCCCAUUACAGAUUGCUAAUAAGCCGCACUUAUUUAAAGGACAGGCAAAAGCAAAGGGCAGAUCGGGUCCUGUUAGCAAUUGCUCGUUGCUCGGCUUGUAGCUGUGUGGGACCGUGAGUCCCGGUGUAUUUCCCCGGUAUAAGUAUUUUAUUCUGUUUUUAGUAUGUGAUAGUUUGAAACUCAGGAUUAUUGUGGAUUUGCUUUGCCAAGGUUUUUGUUUUGUUUGGGUGUUUGGGUAUGAGUGAUGUAUGAAAAUGAUUUAAUUUAUUUAGAAUGUGUGUGCUUGAUGUUCGGAACCACCGUGCAGUUGGUUGGUUGGUUUAGUCUCGUUAAGGUAUGUUUAAUUUUUAUUUAGUUUGUUUAUUUGAGUGACUGGUAAUAAUUAAAUGAUCUAUUUUGUUAUAGGUUGUUGGAUGAUGGUGACUAGUCGCUGUUCUCUUUUGGGUUUUCUUUUUUGUAAAACUGACUGCUCCCUGUUGUGAAUGUAUGUUAAUUCCCUAGCCAGCUGGUGUUUUGUUUCUUUUUGAAUUAUUAGGUUUGUGUAAUUUGGUUUAAUGGUUGGCUAGGGGAUUUUGUCUUUCUUUUUUCUUUUUUUAAGUGCAUUUGAUUUUUUGUUUUCCUGUACCCUUUGGGUAUACCCCUUGGGUAGCUUCCCACCACUUUGUGGGGAAUCGGAGACAGGGAUUGAUAGAGCCCCAACAGGUUUUGUGUGCUUAAUUUUGUGAUGUAUUGAUAUUGAGGGUGCAUUAUUAAUGAUUUGUGGUGGGUUUAUGGGGUGGAGAUUGCUGUGCUCAUACAGUUUGCAGUGAAACUACUCUCCCUGUAGGAAGCUCAAUUAUCUUUUGUCUGCUGAGUAUACCAUCUGAAGGAGGCUGCUCUGGUGGGCUGUUUCCGGUCAGGGUGAAUGACCCAAAUUAUUUUAAUGCUUUGUUAAAUAAAGUUUAAUGUGCUUUCUAUUAUCCUAUGCUUACUGUGGUGGAUUUUCUUUGUAUGCACCUAAGUUCCCUGGGUGUUCGGGGUGCUACAAAAGACUAACUCCUUAUUUAAACAUUAUAAUUAGACUAACAGUCAUAUUAACAUGCAUGUUACAGCCCCCUUUUCUGCUGUAUAUAAAGACAGAUUUCAGUUACAAACUUUGGAGAAUCAGAUCAUCCAGACUUAACUUCGAAACAACCAUGAUGAAGGCCGUGCUUUUGUGUUUUGUCCUGUUUGCGGUCAUUUCUGUGACCACCGCUGCUCAAUGCACGCAAAAGAUUCAGGGUAAAUAAACGCAUAUAUAUGUCAUGCUGUGCUCAUGUCUGUUCAUAUAAACUGUUUUCUUUUUCAGGUUCCUUAACGUGUCAUGAUUGAUAAAUCAUACUUUUCUGGACAGACCUGGGUGAACAGCAAUUGUCAGUUUUGCAAAUGCGAGCCUGGAGCUCUGACCUGCUGUAUAGGAAAACGAGAUGCAGCUGGAAAGUGCAAACUUGAAUAGCAGCACCGCUGGAAAAGAAAUCCAGACAUUUACAAUGACUGAUUUGAGUCUCCAUGUUGUUCAACUGUGAUUAAUCAAAUGAUGACUCAUUUUAUGUCAUGAAGCAAAUAUGAUAUGACAAUAAAGCAACAAUGCAUUAUACAAAUUACACAAAUUUCUUUUUGGUUUCUUUUUGGCAGCAGCAGCUUCCUAUAAUUUAUUAAGAAAAUGCACAUUAGAAGACAUUAAAAGAACAAAAAUCCUGAAUGUAAUAAUAAAUGACAAUAAGGAUGAGGAAAACAAGGGGGAAUAUAAACAAAGAACUGUGAACCCUAAUAAACUAGGGCAAACAAAGAGCACACACUCAAAACACUUCCCUACACCUAGCUAGGAGCACA